rnacentral:rRNA from 1 species
GACUGGGAUAACUCCGGGAAACCGGGGCUAAUACCGGAUGCUUGAUUGAACCGCAUGGUUCAAUUAUAAAAGGUGGCUUUUAGCUACCACUUACAGAUGGACCCGCGGCGCAUUAGCUAGUUGGUGAGGUAACGGCUCACCAAGGCAACGAUGCGUAGCCGACCUGAGAGGGUGAUCGGCCACACUGGGACUGAGACACGGCCCAGACUCCUACGGGAGGCAGCAGUAGGGAAUCUUCCGCAAUGGACGAAAGUCUGACGGAGCAACGCCGCGUGAGUGAUGAAGGUUUUCGGAUCGUAAAACUCUGUUGUUAGGGAAGAACAAGUACCGUUCGAAUAGGGCGGUACCUUGACGGUACCUAACCAGAAAGCCACGGCUAACUACGUGCCAGCAGCCGCGGUAAUACGUAGGUGGCAAGCGUUGUCCGGAAUUAUUGGGCGUAAAGCGCGCGCAGGCGGUUUCUUAAGUCUGAUGUGAAAGCCCCCGGCUCAACCGGGGAGGGUCAUUGGAAACUGGGGAACUUGAGUGCAGAAGAGGAGAGUGGAAUUCCACGUGUAGCGGUGAAAUGCGUAGAGAUGUGGAGGAACACCAGUGGCGAAGGCGACUCUCUGGUCUGUAACUGACGCUGAGGCGCGAAAGCGUGGGGAGCGAACAGGAUUAGAUACCCUGGUAGUCCACGCCGUAAACGAUGAGUGCUAAGUGUUAGAGGGUUUCCGCCCUUUAGUGCUGCAGCAAACGCAUUAAGCACUCCGCCUGGGGAGUACGGUCGCAAGACUGAAACUCAAAGGAAUUGACGGGGGCCCGCACAAGCGGUGGAGCAUGUGGUUUAAUUCGAAGCAACGCGAAGAACCUUACCAGGUCUUGACAUCCUCUGACAACCCUAGAGAUAGGGCUUCCCCUUCGGGGGCAGAGUGACAGGUGGUGCAUGGUUGUCGUCAGCUCGUGUCGUGAGAUGUUGGGUUAAGUCCCGCAACGAGCGCAACCCUUGAUCUUAGUUGCCAGCAUUCAGUUGGGCACUCUAAGGUGACUGCCGGUGACAAACCGGAGGAAGGUGGGGAUGACGUCAAAUCAUCAUGCCCCUUAUGACCUGGGCUACACACGUGCUACAAUGGGCAGAACAAAGGGCAGCGAAGCCGCGAGG